CUCAAAUGAGUGAGAAGGACGAUGAAGGAAACAUCUGUGCUGUGUCUGCUCUAAAGGUGCUCAGAGGAGGUGCUCAGAGGAAGAGGGCGGGCUUUACUUGGUGUCAGUGAGAGAAAUGAAAAAAAGCUCAAAUGAGUGAGAAGGAUGAUGAAGGAAACAUCUGUGCUGUGUCUGCUCUGUGGUCCAAUGUUUCUGGAUUACCCACAACCCCCUCUGUCUGCAUAAAAGCAGUGCUGGAACAGUGGUGUACCAUGGCGUGAGCAUCAGGGGAACAGCAUUGUCCUUGUUGCUACAGAAAAUGGAUCUGUGUACGCCAUCGAGUAGGCGAAAGGAUGGUUACACAGCAUUCUACAGCACCAUGCAGUACCCUCUGCUAUGCACGUUGUUGGUCAGUUGUUCAUCCUGCAGAGAAUGACCCAAAACACAAGCCCAAGCUUUGCCUGAACUACCUCAGGAAAAGAGAACAAGAUGGUGAGCUUGAAAACAUGGAGUGGUCAGCACAGUCUCCAGACUUAAACCCCAUCAAGCUGGUUUGGGAUGAACGGGACAGAAGAGUGACAGCAGCGCAACCUACAAGUGUCAAACAUUGUAGAAAGGGUGAAAGGAGUGACGGCGAGAGAGAGAGAGUGAGUUUUGAGAUGUGACAUUUGUGA